CAACAAUAUGACAAAUUUCGAGUGUCUACGACCAAUUUUUUAAUGUACCAAAUAAACUUCUCUAUAAUUAACAUUUCGCUAAAUGUUUCUUUAUGCCGGAGUUAUACGCAUAAUCACGUCCAUUUCCAUAUGUCUUAGUAGGCAACUUGCCAAAUAAUAAAGUAUUUUUUGAAAUGUAACAUAUACCUAUUUUUUAAAGUGUUCCUUAGGUUGCAUAUCAGUCUCAGCAUGGAGAGAAAUUGGAAUCUAAUUCCGGUAAAUUUUAACCACCGAUACCUUGUGGUACUUACUGAUCUGUGAAAUUGUGCAAGGGCCUCUACUGGCGUCUUUGAUUGAAAUGUGAAAUAAUUUUUUUAUUAAGUUCUUUGUAGGUUUGCAUGGCGAUAAAACAUAUAAUAUUUUGUUUGUGAAAACACCACGUAAAUUUAUUACUGCAAAGCUUUCGAUCCGUAAGCCCGGAUCUAUUCGUUUAGCCCGGAUCUUCAUCAGUUCUAAUAAUGUGUGACUUUUUUAUAUGUGACUUUUUAUACUUUUUUUUACUUUUUUUUAUUAACUUUUUUAAAAAGUCACAUAUUA